AUUGAACGCUGGCGGCAGGCCUAACACAUGCAAGUCGAACGAGUGGCGGACGGGUGAGUAAUGUCUGGGAAACUGCCUGAUGGAGGGGGAUAACUACUGGAAACGGUAGCUAAUACCGCAUACCAUCGGAUGUGCCCAGAUGGGAUUAGCUAGUAGGUGGGGUAACGGCUAACAUAGGCGACGAUCCCUAGCUGGUAUGAGAGGAUGACCACCCACACUGGAACUGAGACAGUGACCAGCGUCCUGCGGGAGGCAGCAGUGGGGAAUAUGGGACAAUGGGCGCAAGUAUUAUGGAGCCAUGCCGCGUGGAUGAAGAAGGCCUUCGGUUUGUAAAGUACUUUCGGCGGGGAGGCGUUAUCCGCAGAAGAAGCACCGGCUAACUCCGUGCCAGCAGCCGCGGUAAUUC
rnacentral:rRNA from 1 species